rfam:Schistosoma curassoni strain Dakar, Senegal genome assembly, scaffold: SCTD_scaffold0008768
AUCCAGCUGACGAGUCCCAAAUAGGAUGAAGUGACGCACGUCCUGGAU